AUGGGCCACCUGUUUUAAAUCCAAAAGCUGGUAGGAGUUUCAGGUACACUGCAUUUGCUUCUGCUGUCCUAUUGCACUUGGACUUGGUGCAGCUAUGACCUAAUGCAGAAGACAAAGUAUGAAGCUACCAAACUGUCAGGGCCAGAACUAAGGCUGUAUAAUUGAUAGGAACCUUCUGGGUGCAUGAUGAGUGGAUCUUCUGAUAAGAUACAUUUAAAGUGUCCCCUGUUGGUGGCUUCUAAUAUGGGGCUAAGGAUGUGACCAAGAAUGGCCUGUAAUCCUGAAGCCUGCCAAGAUUGCAUCAUUGAAACAAUGCUUCCUACCAGGUGGAGAGAAAAUGCAGUAUUCUUAUCUGAGACGUAAUAGAGGCCAGAGUGCUGAACAACACUAUCCACCAGUUCCGUAGCCCCAUAGGGCUGGGGAAGCCACUGGUAUAUGGAACCUUACUGUACCCUGUUGAGGCUUAAACAUGUCAGUGGCCACUAUUUGAACACAUUGUGAGUAGAAGAUCUCUUUCCCCAGGAAAUAGGAUGGAGAGAGUCUUUGGAGAAUGGCCUCACUGAAAUGCUAAGUCAGCUUCCUCCAGAUUUUGGUAAUUUCCCCACUUCCUCUGUAAUUUCUCAGUGCCCUGGCCAUUUUCUGGUAAGUCAUGGUCUCCUUGUUGCCUUUUGUUUUCCCCCAGAGCUCGGCAAGUUUUUCUUUGUUUUUUGAUACAAACUGAAAGAUGCCUUUGGUUAUAUCUACCCACUGAAAACAAGAUGCCAUCUCUGGAUUACACAGGGAUUCGUGAAGGCUGACAUUUGUCUAUUUGUUAAAAAAUGUACAUGUCAUAUACACCAUGGAAUACUAUGCAGCCAUAAAAAGGAAUGAGAUCAUGUCCUUUGCAGGGACAUGGAUGAAGCUGGAAACCAUCAUCCUCAGCAAACACAGGAACAGAAAACCAAAAACUGCAUGUUCUCACUUAUAGGUGGGAGUUGAAUGAUGAGAAUACAUGGACACAGGGAGGGGAACAUCACACACCAGGGCCUGUUGCAGGGUCGGGGAGAGGGGAGGGAGAGCAUUAGGACAAAUAGCU
rnacentral:lncRNA from 1 species